UGAAAAGACAUGGAGGAAUCUUAAAUGCAUAUCACUAAGCGAAAGAAGCCAAUUUGAAAAGGCUACAUACAUACAGUAUGAUUCCAACUCUAUGACAUUCCGGCAAAGGCAACACCGUGGAGCCAGUAAAAGGAUCAUUGGUUGCCCAGGGUUUGCUGCAGAGGGGCUGGGGGAAGAAGGAAUGACUGGGAGGAGCACAGGAUUUUUAGGGCAUACAUACUCUGUAUGAUACUAUAAUGGUGGAUACAUGUCAUGGUACAUUUGUGCCAAUCUCUAAAAUGUACAAGACCAAGAGUGAACCAUAAUGCAGACUAUGGAUUUUGGCUGAUUAUAAUGUGUCAAUGUAGGUUCAACAAUUCUAACAAGAGUACCACUCUCAUGGGGGAUGUUGAUAAUGGGGGAGAUUGCAUGUACAGGGACAAGGGGCAUAUAGGAAAUCUUUGUACCUUCCCCCCUCAAUGCUGUGAACCUAAAACUGCUAUAAAAAAAAAUAAAGUCUUCAUUAAAAAAAAGUGAAUGAUGCCUAUGGUUUUACACCCUCCUCCCUUCUCUCUUGGAAGACAGCAUGCCAAGCCAGAGCCUGAAUGGAUUGGAUCUAGCCUGUGCUAUUAAUCCCCUGUUAUGUGACCUUGAGCAAUUCGCCUCACUUCUCUGAGCCUCACUUUCCUCAUCCAUAAAGUAGGGAUAGGGUUGCUGAUGUAAAAUUGCUUUGAAAGCUCUAAAAGAGCUACCUAAAGGCAGGGACAUAUUUUGGACCUAUAUUUCAGAGUCCCAAGUUUAGCUUUCAGAUGUGCUUUACAUAGUGUUUUAAUGUUCUGAGUAUUAUUAAUACUUUAGGCAGGAGAAUGAAGUCUCCUACUUGCCAGAGGCCCCUCGAUUCCUAAUUGUUUUGCGCUGGGCAAAUUCACACAUUUGUCAUGUAUGUCUGGCUCCUGAAGGCAGUUGAAUUUGCGACAUCUUGUUCCUACAUGAGUGGUAGUGGGUGCACUCUCCUGACCAGCAUUUCCUCUGCCCUCUGAGUCUCAGGCCCUGUGCUGGGUGAAAUGGGAGAGACAGGAGAAAAGAUGAUAUGGUUCCUUCUCUCAAGAAUCUAGUCUCACUUUGGAAUGAGCUGUGAGUUUGCUAAAAGUCAGGGCAGAGUGUUUUGAUGCCAUGGGAGAAGGUGGUCAAGGGUCAGGUCAGACCCAGCGGGGUAGCAGGGAAGGCUUGAGCCUGGCUUUGGGAAAUUUAGGCAUGAAGGGUAGGCAUUUCAGGAAGAUGACACAGCCUCAACAAUGCUGAGAAUUGGGGGACAGUGAAUAGAUCAUCUUAUCUUCUUUAUGAGGGAGAAGAUUGAGACAGUUAGAUAUGUCUCCUGGAGUGAGGUGGCCAAAGGCCCAGCAUGCCUUUGUUCAGAGGUGACAAGGAGCUAUUGAAAAGUUGUUGAGCAGGAAUUGGCGUGGUCCAGGCUCCACUUUCCAAAGGAUGAUCUAACAGGAUGUAUAGAAUGGCUGUAAAGACAGCUGUAAGGCUGGAGACAGGCCACAGCAAUUACUCGGUUGUAAUGUGGGCUACUGGCCAAGAGGUGGCAGUGGAGAUAGAGGGAGAGACGCUGUAGAGGAAGAAUUAGCAGAACUUGGCAGACAGUUGACUGCUAGUGGUAAUGAUCCUCCAAACAGCCUUUGUGGCCUUCUGUGAGGCCAGCCUUUCCCAGUCUCCUCUUCCCUCCUACCUCCCUGUCCGCUCUUUCUGGGUCUCCCUUACAGGCCACUUCUCCUGGACCCCUCCAUCAAUUGUAGGGGUUCCUCAGGAUUGCUUCCCUCAGUUGCCUUCUUUCAUCCAACACCUUGUCAAGGACAGAGGCAGAUUCGCUGAAGCUAAUGAAGCUUAAGCUUCAUGGGCCUCCCUUACAGGGACCCUUCAUUGCUAGAAGUAUCUGGGGAUUAUGGAACAGUCUAGAUGAGGUGGAGAAACCAGGUUGCAACCUGAAAGUAUUUACCUAUAAGCACUUCUGGUAAUUUGCCUAAAUAUAUCUCAGAAGAAAAAGGCAUUAACCUCUAAGCCUCUAGUAACUUGUCAUGGUUUCAUUGUGCAUUACAAUUACCAUCUCUUAAGCCAAGGACUUGGGUUCCCAUCUGUCUAACUCCUGGAUUCCUCUUGCAGACAUGCCAGGCACGUCGGACUCAGACAUCCAAAACUGAGCUCAUGAUCUGAACCACAAAAUCUGCUAUGAGGCGGUGGCACCACCGUCCACCCAGCUGCUCAAACUAGAAAUGACUUUUACACUAGGAAUAACUACUUGAGUUCCUGAAGGCUCAUGAUGGUAAAAACAUGGUUAAAGAAUUGUCCCAAGUGACACAGCUGGAAAGCAGUAGAGCAGGGACUUGAACCCAGAGAGACUGACCUAUGUGUGAGCCCUUAACUGCUGUGCAGGACACCCUAUUAAAUCCAGGUCUAUGAUGUGCCAGGCAUUAUUCUUGGCACCAGGGAGAUAAUAUUGGAAAAAUAAACAAGUAAAACUACUCACAAAGUUCCAGUUUUUAUCAAGUUUACAUUCCUGGUGGGGGAAGACAAAGAAAAAACAUAUAAAAAAGUGAAAGCAUAGGGGACGC